rnacentral:rRNA from 1 species
UGGGGCGGCACAUCUGCUAAACGAUAACGCAGGUGUCCCAAGGUAAGCUCAAAGAGAACGGAAAUCUCUUGUUGACUAAAAAGGGGAAAUGAGCUUGCUUGAUUUAUUACUUAAUUUGUUAGAUUUUCAGUACGAAUUCGAACUGCGAAAGCAUGGCCUAUCGAUCCUUUUGUUUUUGAAGAGGUGCUUAAGCUAGAGGUGUCAGAAAAGUUACCACAGGG